rnacentral:rRNA from 1 species
CUUAACUUCGGGAUUGCCAUUGAAACUGUCACUCUUGAGUGCAGUCGGAGACGGUGGAAUGAGUUAUGUAGCGGUGAAAUGCAUAGAUAUAACUCAGAACACCGAUCGCGAAGGCAGCUGUCUAGACUGCUACUGACGCUGAGGCACGAAAGCGUGGGGAGCAAACAGGAUUAGAUACCCUGGUAGUCCACGCCGUAAACGUUGAUCACUCGUUGUUGGCAAUACGCCGUCAGCGACUAAGCAAAAGCAUUAAGUGAUCCACCUGGGGAGUACGAUCGCAAGGUUGAAACUCAAAGGAAUUGACGGGGGCCCGCACAAGCGGAGGAGCAUGUGGUUUAAUUCGAUGAUACGCGAGGAACCUUACCCGGGCUUAAAUGUAGCGUGCAUUCCCGAGAAAUCGGGAUUUCCUUCGGGACUC